AGCGAACGCUGGCGGCAGGCUUAACACAUGCAAGUCGAACGAUCCUUCGGGAUAGUGGCGGACGGGUGAGUAACACGUGGGAACGUGCCCUUUGGUUCGGAACAACUCAGGGAAACUUGAGCUAAUACCGAAUGUGCCCUUCGGGGGAAAGAUUUAUCGCCAUUGGAGCGGCCCGCGUCUGAUUAGCUAGUUGGUGAGGUAAUGGCUCACCAAGGCGACGAUCAGUAGCUGGUCUGAGAGGAUGAUCAGCCACACUGGGACUGAGACACGGCCCAGACUCCUACGGGAGGCAGCAGUGGGGAAUCUUGCGCAAUGGGCGAAAGCCUGACGCAGCCAUGCCGCGUGAAUGAUGAAGGUCUUAGGAUUGUAAAAUUCUUUCACCGGGGACGAUAAUGACGGUACCCGGAGAAGAAGCUCCGGCUAACUUCGUGCCAGCAGCCGCAGUAACAC
rnacentral:rRNA from 1 species